AUUCGGCUAAUCAAUGUCUUUUAAGUUUCUCCUCAGAAACGGUGGCCAAUCAUCAUCUAUACAAAUCCAUGACAGGAUGAAAUGAGUUCAUGUGGAUCUGGGUGGCUCAAAGGAUGGACGACAGCAGGUGCUAUGGAGUCCUUUGUACUCUCUGUGAUUUUCCUGUGUCUAAGGACAGGAGAUGGCAUAAGCAGAUAAAAGGUGCAGAGUUGUAUUAGAAGUCCACACAUCCCAUGAAAGGCAUGGAAAAAUAGAAAGUUAUUCAUCAGAUUGCAAUGGACCUCUUAUAUAUGUACAGAGGAAGAACCAUUGUGAGGAUAAAGCAAGAAGACAACCGUCUGCAAGCCAGGAAGGGAAACUUUAUCAGAAAGCAACUGUGCUGGAACCCUGAUUUUAGAUUUUGUAGUCUUUAGAAAAGAAAUAAAAAUUAUUUUUGUUUAAGCUA
rnacentral:lncRNA from 1 species